rnacentral:rRNA from 1 species
CGACCGCUGACGGCGUGCUUAACACAUGCAAGUCGAACGGUGAAGCGCCUUCCUUUUUGGUGGGUGUGGAUGAGUGGCGAACGGGUGAGUAACACGUGAGUAACCUGCCCCCUUCUUCUGGAUAACCGCAUGAAAGUGUGGCUAAUACGGGAUAUUCUGGGUCUGUCGCAUGAUGGGUCUGGGAAAGAUAUUGUUUCGGUGGGGGAUGGGCUCGCGGCCUAUCAGCUUGUUGGUGGGGUGAUGGCCUACCAAGGCGGUGACGGGUAGCCGGCCUGAGAGGGUGGACGGUCACACUGGGACUGAGACACGGCCCAGACUCCUACGGGAGGCAGCAGUGGGGAAUAUUGCACAAUGGGCGCAAGCCUGAUGCAGCGACGCCGCGUGAGGGAUGGAGGCCUUCGGGUUGUGAACCUCUUUCGCCAGUGAAGCAGGCCUGCCUCGUUUGUGGGUGGGUUGACGGUAGCUGGAUAAGAAGCGCCGGCUAACUACGUG